rnacentral:snRNA from 1 species
UGAUGCGAGGAUGAUCUAGCUGCGACAUUUGUCACCCCGUUGAUGCUCUGGGUUGAUUCAGCUGAUUUGAAUCAAUCAGUUAGGCAGGUAUCCUCUUUCCUCCCUCACUUCUCUACAUGUGUCGCCCCUGAAGCUGUGCUCUCGGUCCAAGAGUAUGACCGUCCCCACUGGAAAAAGCCUGUUCUUCGGUCAAGGCUAUGCAGUAGCUAUGUUCCUCUGCUACCACCUUGCUCUUAGUGACCUUCUGCACCUAUGCAGUUAGGCACAUAUGCAAACUCAGGCUGUAGAAUAACUUGGAAGGAUUUGACUAUGAGGUCUCUAUUC